UUUUUGCCCCCUCUCAUUGCCUUCCUCCUUGGUNNNNNNNNNNAGGGGCAAAGGGGGAAGGCCUAAAUCAAAGUUGGAACUCAGCUCCCUGGCCAUAUGAGUGACCCCUCUCUAUAGUCUUUUUUCUUCAACAUAAGGUCUUUAAGCAUUGAGGGGAGAAAGAGAAGGGCAGGGAGAGGAGGUAUAGUAGAACAGUGGAUUGGAAGUCAGGACACCAGGCUUCUAGUCCCUUGAUCUGCUACUAAUCCAUUCUAUGAACACGAGCUUGUCACCAGCUAAUGUUUUUAUAUCUGUAAAAUGAAAGGGUUGGGCUUUUAUGGUCUGUAAUGUCCUUGACCAUAUUUAAAUCUGUGAGCCUGUAGGGAUGAAAAGAAGGCAAUAGUUAUUGGUGUAAGCUGAGAGAGAGGCUCUCUGAUUUCUGGGGCUCUUGUCCUUUAAAUCCUAUUUAUCCCGUGGUUGUAUCUAAGGCAAGGUGGGCUGGCGCCCCAGGGUCAGGAAAUGUCCAGUCUCUGACUCUGUGCUCAGUACUUUUCUUUCAAAAUCCUUAUGAGAGAUUUGGGAAAGAGCUCUGCUGUUAUGGAGGAUAUGGAUCUGUGGACUAGGGAAGCUACUGAAUAGUGGGAGGUAGGGGAGGUGGGUUACUAUCUACCCUCUGCUGUCAAUGACUCUAAGCAUGUUCCAGGUGAGAAGAUGACUGAAUCAGAAGUAGAACAGCUGAUGGCUGGACAGGAGGAUGCGAAUGGCUGCAUUAACUAUGAAGCCUUUGUCAAACACAUCAUGUCUGGAUGAAUUGGGACCUUCGGGGUACAAGGUGGCCUUCUAUUGCUGACACUGCAUCAGAAGUGAGUGAACCCUUGGAACAACUGUGGAACUGGAGUCAGAGGGACCCAGGCCGGUCACCCCGUUACAGUUAUGAGAAGCUCCUCAGCUUACCAGCCACCUCUGUAAAUAAACAACCAGGCACUAUCGUAUAUAACAGCUU
rnacentral:lncRNA from 1 species